rnacentral:piRNA from 1 species
UGGUAAGGUGCUUGCCUAGCAUGC